ACAUUGCAAUCUGGUGGUGGGGCAGCUUUACGCGGCCUUGAGCACCCAUGUCCUUUGACUAAGUCCAAGCCGCCCGAAUUUUCAGGCGGCUUUUUU
rnacentral:ncRNA from 1 species